rnacentral:rRNA from 1 species
CGUCUAUAUACGUAUAGCAUAUCAAUAAGCGGAGGAAAAGAAACUAACUAGGAUUCCCUCAGUAACGGCGAGUGAAGCGGGAAGAGCUCAAAUUUGAAAUCUUCAAGGUUCUACCUUGACGAAUUGUAGUUUAUAGAAGUGUUUUCUGUUAGUAGGAGUGGCAAAAGUUCUUUGGAAUAGGACAUCAUAGAGGGUGAGAAUCCCGUAUUUGGUCAUUCCUUCCUAGCGUUGUGAUACACUUUCAACGAGUCGGAUUGUUUGGGAAUGCAGUCCAAAAUGGGUGGUAAAUUUCAUCUAAAGCUAAAUAUUGGCGAGAGACCGAUAGCGAACAAGUACCGUGAGGGAAAGAUGAAAAGAACUUUGAAAAGAGAGUUAAACAGUACGUGAAAUUGUCAAAAGGGAAGCGUUUGACACCAGUGUUGUUUUUCCGAAGAUCAAUUACGAAUGUUUUAUUUUUGAGGAGUUAUGACUUCAUCGGCUUGCUUCUCUCUUUACGAAACUUUCUUAAUGCACUUUUCGGUUAACAAGUCAACAUCAAUUUCUUUUGUUGUAAAAGGGUAUGAGGAAGGUGGCUUUCUUUUCGGAGAAAGUGUUUAUAGCCUUGUACCUCUGCAAUCGGAGAGAUUGAGGUCUGCAGCGUAGAUCCUUCGGGGUUAGAUACAUUUGUGCUAAGUUAUAGCUUUUCAUAGACAACUUGUUGACUAUGAUCAGUCAUGUAGCUUACUCGCUGAUGUCAUUUUACCUACGCUUAGGAUGUUGAUAUGCAUGACUGAUAU